rnacentral:rRNA from 1 species
UACGUAGGGGGCUAGCGUUGUCCGGAAUCAUUGGGCGUAAAGAGCGUGUAGGCGGCUCGGUAAGUCCGCUGUGAAAGUCCAGGGCUCAACCCUGGAAUGCCAGUGGAAACUGUCGAGCUAGAGUCCGGAAGAGGCGAGUGGAAUUCCUGGUGUAGCGGUGAAAUGCGCAGAUAUCAGGAGGAACACCAAUGGCGAAGGCGGUGGUCUGGGCCGGAACUGACGCUGAGGAGCGACAGCGUGGGGAGCGAACAGG